CACGUAGGGGGCGAGCGUUGUCCGGAUUUAUUGGGCGUAAAGAGCUCGUAGGCGGUUUCGUUAGUCGGGUGUGAAAACUCCAGGCUCAACCUGGAGACGCCACCCGAUACUGCGAUGACUAGAGUCCGGUAGGGGAGUGUGGAAUUCCUGGUGUAGCGGUGAAAUGCGCAGAUAUCAGGAGGAACACCAACGGCGAAGGCAGCACUCUGGGCCGUGACUGACGCUGAGGAGCGAAAGCGUGGGUAGCAAACAGG
rnacentral:rRNA from 1 species